rnacentral:rRNA from 1 species
GCCAGACUCCUACGGGAGGCAGCAGUGGGGGAUAUUGCACAAUGGGGGAAACCCUGAUGCAGCGACGCCGCGUGGGUGAAGAAGCGCCUCGGCGCGUAAAGCCCUAUCGGCAGGGAAGAAACAGACGGUACCUGACUAAGAAGCCCCGGCUAACUACGUGCCAGCAGCCGCGGUAAUACGUAGGGGGCAAGCGUUAUCCGGAUUCACUGGGUGUAAAGGGAGCGUAGACGGCGACGCAAGUCUGGAGUGAAAGCCCGGGGCCCAACCCCGGGACUGCUCUUGGAACUGCGUGGCUGGAGUGCAGGAGGGGAAGGCGGAAUUCCUGGUGUAGCGGUGAAAUGCGUAGAUAUCAGGAGGAACACCGGUGGCGAAGGCGGCCUGCUGGACUGCAACUGACGUUGAGGCCCGAAAGCGUGGGGAGCAAACAGGAUUAGAUACCCCAGUAAC